CGGGGCCCGCGGAGCUCGCACCCACCCGGAACCCGCGCUGGCGCUCCGGCCGCGCGCAGGCCCCGCUUCUGCAGGAGCCUCUCCCUCCGCACCUCCCCGCGAGGAGAGGGAGCGGGCUCCGGCCUCGGCCAGCCCCAGAGAGGGGCGCCCACAGCGCAGCGGCGGGCUGAAGGGCUGCUCAAGCGAGACCAGAGCGGACGCCGAGGCUGAGGAGGCCCUGAGAGCGAGGAGAGCGAGCGAGGGUUGCUAGCACGUUGUCACCUCUCACAAUGACUGUCUUCCUCAAGUGUCAGUUCCUCCUUGUUCACGCUCUCGACUACCACCAUAUAAGGCAUGCUUCCUCCUCUGCAAUGAUUGCAAGUUUCCUGAGGCCUCCUC
rnacentral:lncRNA from 10 species